UAGUAACGGCGAGUGAACUGGGACCAAGUCCAGCGCUAAAUCGUUGUGCCCCUGGUGCAGCGAGGUGUAGCGUACAGGUCGGCCUCAGGCAYUGGCCAGUUGUUCAAGUUUCCCUUGACCGGGGCAUCACAGAAGGUGCAAGUCCUGUACAACAACUGCAUUUGCCAGUGCCUCUUGACCGUGCCUUGGAGUCGGGUUGUUUGGGAUCGCAGCCCAAAGCAGGUGGUAAACUUCAUCUAAGGCUGAAUAUGACCACGAGUCCGAUAGCGAACAAGUACCGUGAGGGAAAGUUGCAAAGCACUUUGAAGAGAGAGUUAAAGAGGACGUGAAACCGAUGAGGUGGAAACGGAUAGAGCCAGCGUAUCUGGCCUGCAUUCAACCACACGCGGAAAGCGCUCGUGCAGCUGGCGACUCCAGAUUGGGACAGUUGUGCAGGGCCAUGCUGGAUGCGAGUGGUGCAUUUGCAGGCCGAGUGCGCCGAGGCGCUCGGAGCAGCGGUGUGAGCCCGGUCUUGAGGCCAGCCUGGCUGGUACCCGGACACGGGGGAGUGUUGUUUGCUCUGGGUGAYAGGGUGCAUGGCUUACGGGCCCGGCURGGUGCCGARCUGUCAGCGGGCGGCGGUCGCAUGCGACACGUGCCUUUGCCAGCAGUUCGGUCCUGGUCGAGCUCACAUGCCCGCUCUCGGUGUAAGAGCUGGUCAUCUCUCCGACCCGUCUUG
rnacentral:rRNA from 1 species